rnacentral:misc_RNA from 1 species
AACCUUAUGGACCUGCGGGCGUAUACCUGCGGAAGGAUCAUUACAGAGUUGCAAAACUCCCUAAACCAUUGUGAACGUUACCUAAACCGUUGCUUCGGCGGGCGGCCCGGGUCCUUCCCGGCGCCCCUCGGCCCUCGCGGGCGCCCGCCGGAGGUAAACCAAACUAUUGCAUUGUAUGGCCUCUCUGAGUCUUCUGUACUGAAUAAGUCAAAACUUUCAACAACGGAUCUCAGAUCGGAA